UGGAGUUAUCAAAGAAGAUCAGUGUUGAUGGACAGGAAAUUUUAAAACUAACUUAGUUUUUUUUUUAAUAGACAUAUAGAAGAUGGAAACAAAGAUAGAUAAUGAAGAAUGAGUACAAAAGCAUGAUGGUACUGUAGGAAUAAUACAAGGAGUCCUAAGGCUUUGGUUAGAUAAAUUCUCAGGGAUCAUGGAACCAUCAAAGGUGGAUCUGAGAACUUGGAUAAGAAAAAAAUUACAUCUUUAUUUUCACUAACCUCUAGCUGAAAAUUAGUAUUUCUUUUAAUUAUUACUGUUAUUUUUUUUAAAAACCCAUUUUCUGUUUUAGGAUCAAGUUAUUUAAUUCCAAUUACCUAACCCUUACCAUUCUUUUGCCUUGAAACCAAUAAUUAGUUUUAAUAUUAAAACACAGCUAAAAAUCUGAGGUCAAAUCUACACCCAGAACCUCCUGUCUCCAGGUCUGGCCCUCUAUCUUUUGAGUCACCUAGUUGCCCCAUUUCCUUUCAUUAUUAACGAAGGCAACAAAAUACAGCAAUAUGAGCAAUAUUUGUGAUCAUCACCAAUAGAAAUCAUAGAUAUUUUUCUAUCAUAUUACAGUUGUUGCACAUAUGUCAAAAUACUUAUGUUCAUCACUUUAUAU
rnacentral:lncRNA from 1 species